rnacentral:rRNA from 1 species
UACAGAGGGUGCGAGCGUUGUUCGGAAUUAUUGGGCGUAAAGGGCGCGUAGGCGGUGCGGUAAGUCACCUGUGAAAUCUCCUGGCUCAACUGGGAGCUUGCAGGCGAAACUGCCGUGCUGGAGUGUGGGAGAGGUGAGUGGAAUUCCCGGUGUAGCGGUGAAAUGCGUAGAUAUCAGGAGGAACACCGGUGGCGAAGGCGGCUUUCUGGACAGAUACCGACGCUGAGGCACGAAAGCUAGGGAGCAAACAGG